rnacentral:rRNA from 1 species
GAUGAACGCUAGCGGCAGGCCUAACACAUGCAAGUCGAGGGGCAGCACGUCUUCGGAUGGCGGCGACCGGCGCACGGGUGCGUAACGCGUAUGCAACCUACCUCUUACAGUGGGAUAGCCCAGAGAAAUUUGGAUUAAUACCGCAUAGUAUACAGAUUCAGCAUUGGGACUGUAUUAAACAUUUAUGGGUAAGAGAUGGGCAUGCGUUCUAUUAGUUAGUUGGAGUGGUAACGGCACCCCAAGACAGCGAUAGAUAGGGGCCCGUGAGAGGGGGAGUCCCCCACCACUGGUACUGAGACACGGACCGAGACUCCUACGGGAGGCAGCAGUGAGGAAUAUUGGAC